AACGAACGCUGGCGGCAUGCCUAACACAUGCAAGUCGAACGAGACCUUCGGGUCUAGUGGCGCACGGGUGCGUAACGCGUGGGAACCUGCCCUUAGGUUCGGAAUAACUCCCCGAAAGGGGUGCUAAUACCGGAUAAUGUCUUCGGACCAAAGAUUUAUCGCCUUUGGAGGGGCCCGCGUUGUAUUAGCUAUUUGGUAGGGUAAAAGCCUACCAAGGCGACGAUCCAUAGCUGGUCUGAGAGGAUGAUCAGCCACACUGGGACUGAGACACGGCCCAGACUCCUAAGGGAGGCAGCAGUAGGGAAUAUUGGACAAUGGGCGAAAGAAUGAUCCAGCAAUGCCGCGUGAGUGAUGAAGGCCUUAGGGUUGUAAAGCUCUUUUAACCGGGAUGAUAAUGACAGAACCGGGAGAAUAAACUCCGGCUAACUCCGU
rnacentral:rRNA from 1 species